AGAGAAUUUUCUUGAACGCAAGUAUUUGCUCAUAUGGGAUUUUAUCCACUGAAUGAAUUGAUAAGUAGAUUUUUUUUCUAACUCUCUGUGUGAGAUUCUGUUUCUGUAAGAAACGAGGAAUUUAUAUUUCAAGCCCUUUACUACCAACUGGUGGAGCUAAUGCAGCAGCGCGUCGUUUAUGAAGAGCCACUAAAGCCGAAAAGAAGAGUGGCGUUUUCCGCAUUCCUCCUGCACCCUGCAGUCAGCUCGCAGCUCCGCUCCGGUUCUGGACCAGCACAGAGCUCCGCCGCGCCGCUGGGUGGGAACUUCCCAUCGUACAUGGGAUCGUAGUCCUUUCAGUGGAACAUUGGAGCAGGAACAAACCGGGGACUGAGACUUGGACAAAGAAGAUCCAUGUGAAAGCAAAUCAACAUGGCCCUGUUCAAACCUGAGAAUGUGGAAGACUUCUAUGAGAUUGAGGAAGUUUUGGGCAGUGGGCAUUUUGGUCAGGUUCGAAAAGUCUAUGAGAGGACAUCAAGGACUCACUGGGCUGGCAAGUUCCUAAAGAUUCGAAAAACGGCCUGCAGCCGUCUGGGUCUGGACAGGACCAGCGUGGAGCGAGAGGUGGAGAUACUACAGAUAUUACACCACCCAAAUAUUGUGGCACUCAAAGACGUCUUUGAGAGUCGAUCAGAGGUGGUGCUCAUCCUGGAGCUUGUUAGUGGAGGAGAGUUGUUUGACUUCAUUGCUGAGAAGGAGAACCUAUUGGAAUGUGAGGCCAUUGAGUUUCUAAAGCAAAUCCUGGAAGGACUGAAGUUCAUGCACAAGAACAACAUUGCCCAUUUCGACUUAAAGCCUGAAAACAUCAUGUUGUCGGAUAAAGGUUCCCCGCACCCCAACAUUAAGCUCAUUGACUUUGGCUUGGCUCACCAUUUUUGCCAAGGAGAGGAGUACAGAAGCACAAGUGGCACUCCCCAGUACAUUGCGCCUGAGAUGAUCAGCAACGAGCCUCUCAGCACAGCAGCAGACAUGUGGAGCAUUGGAGUAAUUACCUAUAUACUAUUGAGUGGUUUGUCUCCAUUCCAAGGUGAGACUGAUGAAGAGACUCUGAAGAACGUCAUUGCUACCGAUUAUCAGUUUAAUAAGCAUUACUUCAGCAUGACCAGCUCCAUGGCCAAAGAUUUCAUCAUGAAACUUUUGAUAAAAAACCCCAAUGAAAGAAUGACAGCUGAAGAAUGUCUUGUACAUCCAUGGAUAAAGCCCAUCACUCGCAUACAGGUGGACAAAAGGAGCCGAUCUUCAAUCAAUAUGAGGAGCUUUAAGAAAUUUAACGCCAAAAGGAAAUGGAAGAUGUCCUACAACAUGGUGUUGAUGUGUAACCGGCUUGUCAGUCUGAGGCUACCGUGUAAGAGCAGCUCCAAUCCAGAUCCACUGCAGCAGGCUCAGAGAAGAAAACUGAGCAGAAAAUGGCUGCCUGUCCACCAGCUGGUCCACAUCAACAGGGUCGCCAACUAGGUGAGCAUCAGAUGUUUUCAUUUAGACACACAAGGUUAAACUUUAUUUCAACAACACAGACCGUUGUGCAUUUUUUUGUCUAAACUCAAUUCUCUGUUAGUAUCACAAAGGGCUCAGUUUUAAAAUACUUAAAUGUUUCUGUUACAGCAAAAUAAUGGUAUUAAAGUCAUCACUGAUUUGUUAAUGUCACGGUCUUUACUGUGCUUUCAGUUUCAGAUGGAGUAUCUAUGGCCAAAUGUUUCCUUCCUUCCAACCAUGGAGAUUAUUCUGACAUGAAUUGAUCUUUUUAUUGUCCGUCAUUCUUGUUCCUUGGUUGGUCACGUUCAGGCUUGAUUUAAUGUAUAUGUUCAUUGUGUUCUUUGAAGGCUUUUAUUUUGCGUUGCUGAGGGUAAGUACAGAGUUUAAGCAUGUUCAUGUUCUAUUACACGCUGAGGGUGUAAUAUGAAAUUGAUUUUUGAGUAAAAGAAAAAUAAAUGUGAUAGUAAUAAUUUAUCAUCAUUCAUUCAAAUGAGAUGGUGACCCACCAUAUAAUUAAAUAAGCUAAAGAAUUACAAAUCCUUUAUCAUAUCACACUCACAUGUUUUUUGAUUACCUCCAUUGUCCUUAUAUGUAUUUUGUCAAGAAGACAUCCAUCCAUCCAUCCAUCCAUCCAUUUUCUUACACCCUUGUCCCUUAAUGGGGUCGGGAGGGUUGCUGGUGCCCAUUUCCAGCUAGCGUACUGGACGAGAGGCUGGGUACACCCUGGACAGGUUGCCAGUCUGUCGCAGUGUCAAGAAAACAUAUGUGGGUAAUGGUGGUAAAAAUAUAUUUUUCUGCUUCAGGAAACUUCAAAGCAACGGCAGCAGUCUUGAAACCAGACCAAGCUGGUGAUUGCAGCACCCCUGUCACUCCUACAUCAGUUUCUUCAAAUCGUCCUGUACCAGUACCUCCACAGUUGCUUGCUCUCAAAAUUUAAUUAAGCAAAACCACAUCACCCUUAAGACCAGAGCCUGUUUUGGGUCUCAGUAUAUUAUACAGGAACACCUGCAGCAUCCUCAAGUUCCUCUGCAUCACCUGCAGCUUCUGGUCAGCCAGAGGUGGCACACUCCACUGCACCUGCUCCACCUUCAUCAUUCUGUGCAACCUCAGCAGGAGAUCUUCCAGAUGUGUUUGGUGACCAGCCAGCUGCUCCAUCGCUCCCCAGCUACGAUCAGGAUGUGAAGCAAUGGAACUGCUCUCACCAGCAAAGGAUUUGGAUGAAAACAGAGAUGGAAUCCCUGGGUCUGUGGCCUGGCUCUCGACCAGUGAAACAUCUGAUGAACAUGAUUUCUUUGUGGCGUUACCCUCCUCAUUGAUUCUAUCCAAAACCUCCCAUCACCUAAAUAUUUUCAUCUCCAUCCGUUUUUUAUCUGGAAACCUGAGCACGCCAUAAUGGAAAGAGUGCGCAACAACUACUCACUUCCAUGUUUGUACAGCUGUACAAACCCCCAUGUUGUGUCAUCAGGAGUUGGCCGGCCCCGUAUUGUCAUUAGUACUACAGUAUUACAAACCAGUAUUACAUCCUGGCCUCACGGCUCAGCUGCAGAGGCUGUAAAAAGUACUGGUUUGCAGAUAAGCCACAGUGGAUCCACAUGCUGCCAGGUCRACUCAAGAACAUCUUUCCUGCCUAUUUGACAUACAAGAAAGACAUAUGUGAUGGACGAGCUGCGGCGCUCAGGGAGGUCUCCAAAUGAUAUGGCCAAUCAGUUGAAUGAAGCCCUUCAUUUGAAGUAUGAGCGUGCUCACUUGUCUUACCUGUCCUCUUUCAAAAAUGUGUUGGAUGGAGAGAUUGGACUCUAUGGCCAGAAGACCAUCACUGCUUCCCUGAGAACCACCAACACUGCUGAUCCUUUUGGUGGAUACGCUGAUGCUGAUGGCUGGUUUGGCAUUACAGUCGAAGCUCAUUAUCUGAUGGACUGCAUCAUAAAGGUGUACCGUAGACAGGAGGAGACCCUCAAUCUGCUCCUUCAAGGCACGUUUGGGCAGGCUUUUAGAGCAGACCAUACCUGGAAGGUGGCCCGAAAAGUUGUGCUGGCAUCCGGCACAAUGUCUUCCUAUGCCGUUACGAACAACUAGCCAUGACUUACUGGGCAAAUAUUAAAGGACAUAGUGAAGCUCAUCCUCCGCAUGUUACACUACAACCUUGUCAAGAAAAAGAAAAGAAGCAAAUUAAUAGUUUGGGUGCAUAAUUUUAAAUAAAGUAAAAGAUAUUGGGAUAGAUAAUUUUCUAGUUAGUCCAGUGGUUGUUACUCCUGUUCAUCAUGGAUUUUUGGUUAGGCUGAAGUUGAUUUAAAGUUAUUGGAAAAAGGGAGACAAUUAGAAAAAAAGGAAGUGGAAAGUUAUCUAAAAAGAGAAUAUUCAGAAUAUAUUCAAAUAUAUACAGAUGCCUCUAAAAUGUUAAACAACCAAGUAGGUAUAUCAUUUGUAGUUCCAGAUUUAAAUUUUAUGAAAAAUAAAAGAAUAACUGAUAAACUGACAGUGUAUACAGGUGAGUUAAUGGCAAUUUUAAUGGCUUUAGAAUGGGUUGAGGAAAUGGAAAGAAGAGAGGUUUUAAUUUGUUCAGAUUCAAGUAGCGUAUUAAUUAAUAUUCAAGAGGUAAAUUCAGAAUCAAGGCAAGAUAUUAUAUUGGAAAUAAUUAAUUCAAUUUUCAGGAUUAAAAAUCAUGGUUCUCAUGUUUAACUAGUUUGGAUUCCAGCCCACAUUGGUGUGGUAGGAAAUGAGUUGGCUGAUAGUUUUGCUAAGAGCUCUUCAAAAAAGAAUAUAUUGUUGAUUUGAAUAUUAAGAUAAGUAAAAAUGAGAUAAAGAAUAUUAUAAAAGAGUAUAUCAAGGGGAAAUGGCAAAAGCAGUGGGAUAGAGGAGACAAGGCGAGGUUUUAUUAUAGUAUCCCAAAAAAUUUGGGGGAAUUUAGGAAAUGUAAUAGAAAUAAUAAGGAAGAAGAUAUUAUAUCUAGAAUAAGUAAGAAAAAAUAUUUACAAUGUGUUACAAAUAUUUUAGAACUUUGAAUAUUUCAAGUGUAAAAAGUAGAAAUAAAUGAAAAUCCACUUGGAACAGUAACAAAUCCCCAUAUCAAACUGUACAUUGUUCAUUUAAAUUAAUGGCAUUAUUUACACCGAACUAUAGGACUUGCAAAAUUAUCUGCAAUUAUUUGCCCUUUUCGGCAGCCCACCUCUCCUUUUCAGCCUCAUAAAAAGAGGAUUGACAAAACUCCCCCCAUGCCAUUUCCCCUUUCAUUCCCUGGUACUGGUACAAGGACAGGACUUUUGCAGGACAGUAAAUGUACUUCUCAUUCACACCAGGGAACCCAGUGUGAACAUGGGUACUGUUUGGGCCUUGUUUGAGAGGUCUGUCGCAGAACCUGCACAGACGCCCAGCAGGCUGCUCCUCCUUGGCCUUCCUUUUUCCCCGCUCCUCCAUCACCCGUCUUACUUUGGCUGAGCGUUGCUUUGCAGCCUCCAGCUCUCAAGCAAAAAAUGGUGUGUCCGCAAAGUCAGAAAAUGACAUUCGAGGGUCAGACAGGCCCUUUGCCACAUAGGUGUGGUAAACCUUUUGUGAGCAGUAAAAAUACUUUACCUCUGCAGACUGAUAGAAGAAAUGAACAGAGGAGCCGUCACCCUGAAAACGGGACUUUGGCUGGCCACAUGCUAGACAGUUCCUAGUUCUCUUCUUCAUGGGCUGCUGAUAUUUCUGCUGCUGUUGCACAAUCUCCUUCACCAUUUGCUCAAUUUGUGCUUUUGUUAGUGGAGCAUCCUGGGCCUUAAUGGUAGGCUGGUUCAUAUUCGCAAGUGGAAUAGUGACUACUGGAAAACUAACAGUCUCACUACCUUCUGUUAGAUGAUGCCACAGCUGUUGCGUCUCUAGAAGUUUCUCUGGGCUGAUGUUUAAAAAUGAUUUUGUGUUUUUCAUCUUGGCUAGAUGCUUCAUGUAACGCGAAAUAUGGUGUUUGGUUGUCGGGUGCAAAAAGCUGUUUGGGUCUUUCUGGGAAGCCUGAACACAAACAGCAUAUUCAGCAUCCACCUUAACGAGGCAGUCUUUCUGCCCGUGGUGCUUUUGUAGAAGCUGGCCAAUCUUAUCCCUCAUGGGCUAUGUCCACCGGGAGUGGUCCAGGACAAAGAUCAGACCACCCGCUUUGAUGGGACCUUUGCGGGCAGCUCGAGGAGAGGCAGCAGGAAGCAGUGGUGUCACUGGUGUCUGUAAUGGAGGGAGAGAAAUUAAAGUUUAGAUUCAGAAAGAAACUUUAUUAGUCCUCAGUGGGCAAUUCAUUUCUGCAGCCAUUAGAAUCAGAAUUUUAAAAAUAUCAGGAUUUUCCCCACAAAGUUUUAUUAAAGUGGUGACAAAAUGUGAUGAAAAACACCUUUUUGGGGCUUUGCUGGACCCCACCUUGUGAGCCUAAUGUAGCCACAGCAGCAGUGCACUCCUGAAACAAAAAAGCAGAGUAAAACUAAGAAAUUAAUUUUUUUGUUAGUCAAUAUUUGCAUAAAAGAUUUAUUUAAUUGCUGUGGAAUAUUUGAAAAUGAAAGAAUCAAUCUCACCUGAACGAAGAGCUCCUCCCUCACUUCUUCAAGUGGAUCAAUGAAAAUUUCAGUUUUUGGUUCCUUGUAAUGAGGAUCUUCAUUCUCAGCCGGGGGGUUCUUUCUGGGACUUAUGUUUGUCUCAGUUCAGGGGGACAGGGCGACAGCCUGGCUCCAGGUACUGCAGACCAAACCUUUCUCUUGUAUCACUGUUGGAAAUGUGUAAAAAUGGAUACUUAGUUUGGCCUAUAAUUUCCUGAGCGAGUCUGUUCAGGUCUGAGACCAGAACAGGAUCAAAAACUGCAGGGAGCUUCAAAUCCGGCUGUUUCAGGUCCACAAGGCGCUGAAAAUUCCACCGAGCAAUUCCCAUCGUCCCCUGUGCCUGGAAGAGCUCAGCGAACACCUGCGUCCCAGUGUCCCACCUGGCCUGGUGGAAAUGAAAGCCCUCCUGCUGAGAAGUUCCCCUCACAGGGAUCCACACAGGUACUGCCGCUUUCUCCCCCUUAACAUGGUUCAACUGUAUGGUUCCUCCGUGUCUUUUGAGGACGCCUUCUCCAACCUCUGGGUCACUCAAGCAGCCACGGAGGAUGUAAACCCUUUGAAUUCUCCGCACUUUCAGCAUGGAGGGUUUGAAGAGUGGCACCCCAUCAGAAUCAAGUUCUGAGUACAAUCUGCAGAACGCUUUCCACUCUCUCCACCAACUCUGCAGGACCUGGGAUCUUGUUUUGGCAGUGGUCUCUAAUGUGCUGCUUUGUUGGGUUUGGUGGCUCGAUCCCACAGAAAACGUAAGCCUGCCGCAGCCUCUGCAGGACAACAACACAGAAAGUUUGCUGACAGGAAUUUGCAGAAUGGGCUGUACAGCAGAUGAUGUUCUGAAGUGCACUCUCUGGAGAAACGCCACAUACAGUGAAACAAGUCCAGCUUGAUGCUGAUUUCACUGUUGUACUUCCUUCUAGAAGCACAGCUGUUGGUGAGGCUUCCAGAAGUUGCCUCAGCUACUGCAGCAUCUGUUGUCUUCCAGGAGUCCCACAGCAGGUGUUCCUGUGGUUCAGGGUUUGGGAUCCUGAAUGAAGCAUAACAAUCCCUGAAACAUAAACAGAAAAAUAAAUUUAGAAAUGUAACAUUUUUGUAAGCAAAGUCAGGCAUAUUUCAAACUGUUUUCCUUAAGCAUGAAUAAUAAAAUAAUAAUUAAAAAAAUUGUCUUCUCUUACCUGUCGACCCAUUGAUGUGUGGCUUUUGGCUGACCUGCAGAAAUGUAUCUACUAGACAACCCUGCAUACAUGGGCUCCAGGGACUUGUCCGUUUCUGACUGCAGCAUCACGCUGGACAAGAUCAUCCAGUUUUUGUUCAUAACGGCAUAGGAAGACAUUGUGCCGGAUGCCAGCACAACUUUUCGGGCCACCUUCCAGGUAUGGUCUGCUCUAAAAGCCUGCCCAAACGUGCCUUGAAGGAGCAGAUUGAGGGUCUCCUCCUGUCUACGGUACACCUUUAUGAUGCAGUCCAUCAGAUAAUGAGCUUCGACUGUAAUGCCAAACCAGCCAUCAGCAUCAGCGUAUCCACCAAAAGGAUCAGCAGUGUUGGUGGUUCUCAGGGAAGCAGUGAUGGUCUUCUGGCCAUAGAGUCCAAUCUCUCCAUCCAACACAUUUUUGAAAGGACAGGUAAGACAAGUGAGCACGCUCAUACUUCAAAUGAAGGGCUUCAUUCAACUGAUUGGCCAUAUCAUUUGGAGACCUCCCUGAGCGCCGCAGCUCGUCCAUCACAUAUGUCUUUCUUGUAUGUCAAAUAGGCAGGAAAGAUGUUCUUGAGUYGACCUGGCAGCAUGUGGAUCCACUGUGGCUUAUCUGCAAACCAGUACUUUUUACAGCCUCCUGAGCUUCAGUGGCAUCUCACCCAUCUCAACCUGUAGAGCUGAAACUGGAGUUGAUUCCAUCGCUCCGCAGCAAAGUCUUAAUACCUGAUAUUGUAUUUUAUCUAUCUUUGCCAAUAAACUACUUGAAGCUGAAUUAUAUAAAAUACAACCAGUCAAAGAUUGAUCGAAUUA